GACGAACGCUGGCGGCGUGCCUAACACAUGCAAGUCGAGCGAGUGAAUCUCCUUCGGGAGUGAAGCUAGCGGCGGACGGGUGAGUAACACGUGGGCAACCUGCCUCGUAGAGGGGAAUAGCCUUCCGAAAGGAAGAUUAAUACCGCAUAAGAUUGUAGCUUCGCAUGAAGUAGCAAUUAAAGGAGCAAUCCGCUAUGAGAUGGGCCCGCGGCGCAUUAGCUAGUUGGUGAGGUAACGGCUCACCAAGGCGACGAUGCGUAGCCGACCUGAGAGGGUGAUCGGCCACAUUGGGACUGAGACACGGCCCAGACUCCUACGGGAGGCAGCAGUGGGGAAUAUUGCACAAUGGGGAAACCCUGAUGCAGCAACGCCGCGUGAGUGAUGACGGCCUUCGGGUUGUAAAGCUCUGUCUUCAGGGACGAUAAUGACGGUACCUGAGGAGGAAGCCACGGCUAACUACGUGCCAGCCGCCGCGGUAA
rnacentral:rRNA from 1 species